UACGUAGGGGGCAAGCGUUGUCCGGAAUCAUUGGGCGUAAAGCGCGCGUAGGCGGCCCGGUAAGUCCGUUGUGAAAGUCGGGGGCUCAACCCUCGGAUGCCGGUGGAUACUGUCGGGCUUGAGUACGGAAGAGGCGAGUGGAAUUCCUGGUGUAGCGGUGAAAUGCGCAGAUAUCAGGAGGAACACCAAUGGCGAAGGCAGCUCGCUGGGACGUGACUGACGCUGAGACGCGAAAGCGUGGGGAGCAAACAGG
rnacentral:rRNA from 1 species